rnacentral:lncRNA from 1 species
AACCUUUUCACCAUGAUUCCGAGGCCACAAGCUCAGGUUUGAGCUGGAGAGAAGACUGAGAAGAAACGAGAGAUUGAAGAGAUUCAAAGAAGCCAUUUUGAUGGUUUUUUUUUGUGAGAAAGGGUGGGAUUGAAGUGAUUAAAAGCAGCCAGUUUAAUGGUUAUGGGACAAAAUCUGAUUCAGUGGCCUGCAUUACGACACGAAGAAGAUAAAAUUAUCAGGAAUUACACCGCAUAAUGCCAAGAAUAUUUAAGGUCUUGAAAAAAAAUUGAACCCCAAUCGAUUCUCACCGUCCUUCUAUAUAGCAUCGUAGGAAAGGGAAAUCGCGAGAUAUAUAUCAACAAGUUAGGAAAUAGAGUUUGUCUGUUUGCA